rnacentral:rRNA from 1 species
GAUGAACGCUGGCGGCGUGCUUAACACAUGCAAGUCGAACGGAAAGGCCUCUGCUUGCAGGGGUACUCGAGUGGCGAACGGGUGAGUAACACGUGGGUGAUCUGCCCUGCACUUCGGGAUAAGCCUGGGAAACUGGGUCUAAUACCGGAUAGGACAAUGGUUUGGAUGCUGUUGUGGAAAGUUUUUCGGUGUGGGAUGAGCUCGCGGCCUAUCAGCUUGUUGGUGGGGUAAUGGCCUACCAAGGCGUCGACGGGUAGCCGGCCUGAGAGGGUGUACGGCCACAUUGGGAAUGAGAUACGGCCCAGACUCCUACGGGAGGCAGCAGUGGGGAAUAUUGCACAAUGGGCGCAAGCCUGAUGCAGCGACGCCGCGUGGGGGAUGACGGCCUUCGGGUUGUAAACUCCUUUCGCUAGGGACGAAGCGUUUUUGUGACGGUACCUGGAGAAGAAGCACCGGCUAACUACGUG